UACGGGGGGGGUAAGCGUUGUUCGGAAUUACUGGGCGUAAAGGGCUCGUAGGCGGCCAACUAAGUCAGACGUGAAAUCCCUCAGCUUAACUGGGGAACUGCGUCUGAUACUGGAUGGCUUGGAUUCGGGAGAGGAAUGCGGAAUUCCAGGUGUAGCGGUAAAAUGCGUAGAUAUCUGGAGGAACACCGGUGGCGAAGGCGGCAUUCUGGACCGAUAUUGACGCUGAGGAGCGAAAGCCAGGGGAGCAAACGGG
rnacentral:rRNA from 1 species